rnacentral:rRNA from 1 species
UUCCUACGGGGGGCAGCAGUGAGGAAUAUUGGUCAAUGGCCGAGAGGCUGAACCAGCCAAGUCGCGUGAGGGAGGAAUGUCCUAAGGAUUGUAAACCUCUUUUGUCGGGGAGCAAAAAGGCUCUGCGGAGUCGUAUUGAGAGUACCCGAAGAAAAAGCAUCGGCUAACUCCGUGCCAGCAGCCGCGGUAAUACGGAGGAUGCGAGCGUUAUCCGGAUUUAUUGGGUUUAAAGGGUGCGCAGGCGGUCUGUUAAGUCGGCGGUCAAAUCCCGGGGCUCAACCCCGGCCCGCCGUUGAAACUGGCAG